CCUUACCAAGGCUUGACAUAUAGGGAAAAGUGGCAGAGAUGUCAUGUCCGCAAGGGCUCUAUACAGGUGGUGCAUGGUUGUCGUCAGCUCGUGUCGUGAGAUGUUGGGUUAAGUCCCGCAACGAGCGCAACCCUCGUUCUGUGUUGCCAGCAUUUAGUUGGGGACUCACAGGAGACUGCCGGGGUUAACUCGGAGGAAGGUGGGGAUGACGUCAAAUCAUCAUGCCCCUUAUGUCUUGGGCUGCACGCAUGCUACAAUGGCCGGUACAGAGGGCUGCAAUACCGUAAGGUGGAGCGAAUCCCAAAAAGCCGGUCUCAGUUCGGAUUGAGGUCUGCAACUCGACCUCAUGAAGUUGGAGUUGCUAGUAAUCGUAGAUCAGCAACGCUACGGUGAAUACGUUCCCGGGGCUUGUACACACAGCCCGUCACGUCACGAAAGUCGGUAACACCCAAAGUCAG
rnacentral:rRNA from 1 species